UUUCACACUGUCAAGAAAAGCUUCUAUCGAGUUUAAAGGCGCCCGUACCGUAAACCGACACAGGUGGGUGAGGAGAGUAUCCUAAGGCCAGCGAGAGAACUAUUGUUAAGGAACUCGGCAAAAUGACCCCGUAACUUAGGGAGAAGGGGUGCCUGUCUAUGACAGGCCGCAGAGAAUAGGCCCAAGCGACUGUUUACCAAAAACACAGGUUUCUGCUAAGUCGCAAGACGAUGUAUAGGAGCUGACGCCUGCCCGGUGCUGGAAGGUUAAGGGGAUCUGUUAGAGCAAUCGAAGCAGUGAACUUAAGCCCCAGUAAACGGCGGCCGUAACGAUAACGGUCCUAAGGUAGCGAAAUUCCUUGUCGGGUAAGUUCCGACCCGCACGAAAGGCGUAACGAUUUGGGCACUGUCUCAACAAUAGACUCGGAAAAUUGUAAUCCCGGUGAAGAUGCCGGGUACCUGCGACGGGACGGAAAGACCCCAUGGAGCUUUACUGUAGCUUGACGUUGGGUCUUGGUACUACAUGUACAGGAUAGGUGGGAGACUAUGAAGCAUGGACGCCAGUCUGUGUGGAGUCAUCCUUGGGAUACCACCCUUGUAGUACUGGGAUCCUAACCAUAGGCCUUGAAUCAGGUCUUGGAACACCGUCAGGUGGGCAGUUUGACUGGGGCGGUCGCCUCCUAAAAAGUAACGGAGGCGCUCAAAGGUUUCCUCAGCACGGUCGGAAAUCGUGCGAAGAGUGUAAAGGCAAAAGGAAGCUUGAUUGCAAGACAUACAGGUCGAGCAAGGACGAAAGUCGGACUUAGUGAUCCGGUGGUACCGCAUGGAAGGGCCAUCGCUCAACGGAUAAAAGCUACCCUGGGGAUAACAGGCUUAUCUCCCCCAAGAGUCCACAUCGACGGGGAGGUUUGGCACCUCGAUGUCGGCUCAUCACAUCCUGGGGCUGUAGUAGGUCCCAAGGGUUGGGCUGUUCGCCCAUUAAAGUGGUACGCGAGCUGGGUUCAGAACGUCGUGAGACAGUUCGGUCCCUAUCCGUCGCAGGCGUAGGAAAUUUGAGAAGACCUGUCCUUAGUACGAGAGGACCGGGAUGGACGUACCUCUGGUGUACCAGUUGUUCUGCCAAGGGCAUGGCUGGGUAGCUAUGUACGGAAUGGAUAAGCGCUGAAAGCAUCUAAGCGCGAAGCCAACUUCAAGAUAAGAUUUCCCACCGUAAGGGUAAGACCCCAGGAAGACUACCUGGUUGAUAGGUCGAAGGUGUAAGUGCAGUAAUGUAUUUAGCUUAUCGAUACUAAUAGGUCGAGGACUUGAUCAA
rnacentral:rRNA from 1 species